rnacentral:rRNA from 1 species
UACAGAGGUCUCAAGCGUUGUUCGGAUUCAUUGGGCGUAAAGGGCGCGUAGGCGGUCAGCACAAGUCAGUUGUGAAAUCUCCGGGCUUAACUCGGAAAGGUCAACUGAUACUGUGCGACUAGAGUGCAGAAGGGGCAACUGGAAUUCUCGGUGUAGCGGUGAAAUGCGUAGAUAUCGAGAGGAACACCUGCGGCGAAGGCGGCAUCCUGGACCAAUUCUGACACUGAGGAGCGAAAGCCAGGGGAGCAAACGGG